rnacentral:rRNA from 15 species
CACACGACUCUCGGCAACGGAUAUCUCGGCUCUUGCAUCGAUGAAGAACGUAGCGAAAUGCGAUACCUGGUGUGAAUUGCAGAAUCCCGUGAACCAUCGAGUCUUUGAACGCAAGUUGCGCCCGAGGCCACUCGGUCGAGGGCACGCCUGCUUGGGCGUCACGC